rnacentral:tRNA from 1 species
GAGGGUAGAGCUCAGUGGUAGAGCACAUGCUUAGCAUGCACAAGGUCCUGGGUCCAAUCCCCAGUACCCCCA